UACGAAGGGGGCUAGCGUUAUUCGGAAUUACUGGGCGUAAAGCGCACGUAGGCGGAUUUGUUAGUCAGGGGUGAAAUCCCGGGGCUCAACCUCGGAACUGCCUUUGAUACUGCAAAUCUCGAGUCCGGAAGAGGUGAGUGGAAUUCCUAGUGUAGAGGUGAAAUUCGUAGAUAUUAGGAAGAACACCAGUGGCGAAGGCGGCUCACUGGUCCGGUACUGACGCUGAGGUGCGAAAGCGUGGGGAGCAAACAGU
rnacentral:rRNA from 1 species